AUGCCAGCUCCUAUAGGAGGGGGAGAAAGAAGCGCGUGCCUUAUACCAAGGUGCAAUUAAAAGAACUUGAACGGGAAUACGCCACGAAUAAAUUCAUUACUAAGGACAAACGGAGGCGGAUAUCAGCCACGACGAAUCUCUCUGAGCGGCAGGUCACAAUCUGGUUCCAGAACAGGAGGGUUAAAGAGAAAAAAGUCAUCAACAAACUGAAAACCACUAGUUAAUGGAUUAAAAAUAGAGCAAGAAGGCAACUUGAAGAAACGCUUCAGAACUCGUUGCUUUGCCCAGAUAAUGAUAAUAAUGCUUAAUAAUAAUUGAAGAAUGGGAAAGAGAAAGAGACAGAGACUGGCAUUUUCCUCUCCCGAAGGAGAUCUCUUUCUCUUUAAUGGAAUCUACAACUGUUUUAAAACUUUAAGAAAGAUGUAAGAAAUAUUCUGAGCCUCGAGCCUAGGAAGGAGGCCAACAGCAGCUCUCCAGCCGGGAUCCCGCCCCUUUCGAAAGCCAUCACCACUACAGGAACCCUGGGGAAGGAAAAAGACACUGGCGCAGAAAAAUUCCUCCGUG
rnacentral:lncRNA from 1 species